CAGCAGCCGCGGUAACUCCAGCUCCAAUAGCGUAUAUUAAAGUUGCUGCAGUUAAAAAGCUCGUAGUUGGAUCUUGACGGCAGUGCCGCGUGGUUGGUUACGUCUGCCUUUGGAGGAAAACCUCGUGUUUCCUUUGAGACGGCGAACUAUGCUGCGUAGGUGGUGCAGUCUUUCAGCCGUGUCUGUGCCCUUCUGGGUUCAGGUGCUGACUGACGGUUAAGUAUAUCUUGCCUGUCAGCCGGUACGCACUGCGAUCCACUUGAUUGCGUGUCGUGGUGCGGGCGGCAUGUUUACUUUGAACAAAUUUGAGUGCUCAAAGCAGGCCAGUGUGUCUGAAAAGUCUUGCAUGGAAUAAUGGAAUAGGACUUCAGUUCUAUUUUGUUGGUUUUCGGAUCUGAAGUAAUGGUUAAGAGAGACAGACGGGGGCAUUUGUAUGGUGGUGUUAGAGGUGAAAUUCUUGGAUCGCCACCAGACAGCCUGAAGCGAAAGCAUUUGCCAGGAAUGUUUUCAUUGACAAAGAGCGAAAGUCAGAGGUUCGAAGACGAUCAGAUACCGUCCUAGUUCUGACCAUAAACGAUGCCGACUGACGAUCCGUGGGGUAAUAUUCGUUUGUCCCCACGGGCAGUCUCCGGGAAACCUUUAAGUCUUUGGGUUCCGGGGGAAGUAUGGUUGCAAAGCUGAAACUUAAAGGAAUUGACGGAAGGGCACCACCAGGAGUGGAGCCUGCGGCUUAAUUUGACUCAACACGGG
rnacentral:rRNA from 1 species